AUGAAAAUCCACAUUAAGACAUGUUCUAGUGUCCAUUUUUCAUCAAAUAAACAUAUUCUAAUAUGUAUACACCAUAAAGAACUUAUUUACAUCAUAAAAACUAGAUUUCAAAAACCUAAUUUUCAAAUCCCUAAAUCAAUUUGGGUGAUUCAAAAUCUAGAAAUUCACAUACCCAAUCUUAUUACAUGUUACUAUCCAUCAUAUACUCUCAUAAUAACAUAG